UCUCUCCCCCUUCCCCCACCACGGAACUCCCUCUAAGGAAAGGCAGCCGGGUCUGUUUGUGGACGGCUCGAAAAACAGUUACUACCUCAUUUCCGACGCAGUUGUCGUCGCUGACAGCAGAGCAUUCAAGGAAUGGUAUGGGGACACCCUUAUUCCGGAUCCAGCUUUGGUGCUUCCAGCUUGAAGAGCUGCCGGGUCGAGUGCAAGAACGGUGUGGAUUAUUGACCUUCUGGACAUCGAAAUGGAGCCUCGCACCACAUUGAAAGAUCAGAAAUAAAGUUGAAGUCUGGAGACAACAAUUUUAACCAGCAUAUGGAGACUUCAUUAGCCCUUUUCAGCUUCAGAAAGAGAUCAUGAUGAUGAUAACCAAUUAGAGUAUAUAUUGAGUGUUUUCUCUUUGCAGAGAACUGUACUAAGGACUUGUGAAAGCACGCUAGAACCGGUAGACGAUCUCUGGCCUCAAGGAACUUACAGUCAAGUUGGGGAGUUAGGCACUAAAAUAAAUAAAAACUAGGGGAAGCAG
rnacentral:lncRNA from 1 species